AUUUGUACUUUUUUAUCAUCAUAAGUGUAGUUACAUAGGGUUGUUGUUGUUCUUCGACCUUGAUGAUUGUUAUAGUUUUUCUUAGUUGUCGUGUAUUAUUUUUUUUAUAUUUUUUACUAGUAUAAAGUUUGUUUUAUCUACUUCCUAUAUCUAGGCAUGCCUUGUGAUAUGAUAUACGACAUUACUAAUAUUUAUUGAUUUAAAAAAAAAUCUAGCCAUAAAUUAGAAACAAAGUCCACCACCUCAAUAUUAUAAUUUAUU
rnacentral:lncRNA from 1 species